UUCAGCGUGGAUCAUUAUGUUCUGCCAAAGUUUGAGGUAGUGAUCAAAGCUCCGGAUGUGAUCCAUUGGGAGGACAAUCUGAAAGGCUUCGUCUCGGCCAGGUACUGGUAUGGCAAACCCGUCCACGGACACAUGAACAUCACAGUCAGUCUUCACUCCCAUGGCAACGUUUAUAGUCACAGCAAGGAGGCGGAGAUCCAUGGGUCCGAAAAGUUCAUGUUUGAUGCUGUCGACUUUCCUCUGGACUGGGAGUGGGUGAUGAUGAUAUUCUAUGAAGAAAGCUGGGUCUACCUGACCAUCCAGGUGUCUGUGACCGAAUACCUGACAGGUAAG